rnacentral:rRNA from 1 species
GAUGAACGCUGGCGGCGUGCCUAAUACAUGCAAGUCGAGCGAACGGACGAGAAGCUUGCUUCUCUGAUGUUAGCGGCGGACGGGUGAGUAACACGUGGAUAACCUACCUAUAAGACUGGGAUAACUUCGGGAAACCGGAGCUAAUACCGGAUAAUAUUUUGAACCGCAUGGUUCAAAAGUGAAAGACGGUCUUGCUGUCACUUAUAGAUGGAUCCGCGCUGCAUUAGCUAGUUGGUAAGGUAACGGCUUGCCAAGGCAACGAUCCAUAGCCGACCUGAGAGGGUGAUCGGCCACACUGGAACUGAGACACGGUCCAGACUCCUACGGGAGGCAGCAGUAGGGAAUCUUCCGCAAUGGGCGAAAGCCUGACGGAGCAACGCCGCGUGAGUGAUGAAGGUCUUCGGAUCGUAAAACUCUGUUAUUAGGGAAGAACAUAUGUGUAAGUAACUGUGCACAUCUUGACGGUACCUAAUCAGAAAGCCACGGCUAACUACGUG